UACAGAGGUCUCAAGCGUUGUUCGGAUUCAUUGGGCGUAAAGGGUGCGUAGGCGGCGCGGUAAGUCGGGUGUGAAAUCUUGGAGCUUAACUCCGAAACUGCAUUCGAUACUGCCGUGCUUGAGGACUGGAGAGGAGACUGGAAUUUACGGUGUAGCGGUGAAAUGCGUGGAUAUCGUAAGGAAGACCAGUGGCGAAGGCGGGGUCUCUGGACAGUUCCUGACGCUGAGGCACGAAGGCCAGGGGGAGCAAAACGGGG
rnacentral:rRNA from 1 species